AAUUCAUUGACCCUAGCAAGACUACCAAAAGCGAAAGCAGUUGGCUAGGCUAUACUCUUUGUGAUUAAUAGCUGUGUUUCUUACGUACGCUCAAGCGCUUAUCAAUCAUAUUCUGUGAUUCUCGCAUACACACACACACACACAUGCGUUAAGCAAUUUGCAAGAGUCGCUGAAUCAGAAUUUGGUGUUUAUGUGUGAGAGCUGUGAGAGUUGUUAUUAUCACUUCACAAUGAAGAACGAAGGUUGGGGGAUCAAAGAGGAUCAGAUACCCUCGUCGUCCCAUUAAUUACAUCAAACGAUGGGUUCUCAAUUGCAAUUUCUUUUUAGAUAUUUGCAUUAAUGACCUCAGCCUACUAAAUUAUAUAACUAAGUAUUAACUUGGCUUGAGCUCGUAUUUCGAUACGCUCGCCAUAAUUUACAUUAGCUUUUUUAAUUUAUGUACGGUCUCAAUUGAAGACAUUAUGCAUUCUGUUAUGUAUUCUAUGCGUGUCUCGCAAACAAAUUCUCAAUUAUCACUGCCUUCUUUGGGCAAGUGAAAUUGGUCUAUGCGACACUUGACUUUCGGAGCUUUGCGCUCAAUUCUGGUGAGAUGUAAGCAUCUAUGUUAAUGAUACCCGCAGCGUAUACCUUUGGGUAUUUCGUCUGUCGUGUUUUGUAUCUUAACAAUUAAUAAUAAUGAUGUGAAGCACGCUUUAGGCACGCGCUUACUGCAGAAAUGUCUGAGACAUUCCCCUCCGGGGGUAGUAUGCACGCAAGUGUGAAACUUGAAGGAAUUGACGGAAGGGCACCACAAGAACGCGUGGAGCAUGUGGCUUAAUUU
rnacentral:rRNA from 1 species